rnacentral:rRNA from 1 species
UACGGAGGGUGCAAGCGUUGCUCGGAAUUAUUGGGCGUAAAGGGUAGGUAGGUGGUCUCAUUUGUCUGGGGUGAAAGCCUUGAGCUUAACUCAAGAAGUGCCUCGGAAACGGUGAGACUCGAGUCCUGGAGAGGGUCGUGGAAUUCCCGGUGUAGCGGUGAAAUGCGUAGAGAUCGGGAGGAACACCAGAGGCGAAGGCGGCGACCUGGACAGGUACUGACACUCAACUACGAAAGCGUGGGGAGCAAACAGG